rnacentral:rRNA from 1 species
GACGAACGCUGGCGGCGUGCCUAAUACAUGCAAGUUGAGCGCUGAAGGUUGGUACUUGUACCAACUGGAUGAGCAGCGAACGGGUGAGUAACGCGUGGGGAAUCUGCCUUUGAGCGGGGGACAACAUUUGGAAACGAAUGCUAAUACCGCAUAAAAACUUUAAACACAAGUUUUAAGUUUGAAAGAUGCAAUUGCAUCACUCAAAGAUGAUCCCGCGUUGUAUUAGCUAGUUGGUGAGGUAAAGGCUCACCAAGGCGAUGAUACAUAGCCGACCUGAGAGGGUGAUCGGCCACCUUGGGACUGGGACACGGCCCAAACUCCUACGGGAGGCAGCAGUAGGGAAUCUUCGGCAAUGGACGAAAGUCUGACCGAGCAACGCCGCGUGAGUGAAGAAGGUUUUCGGAUCGUAAAAAUCUGUUGGUAGAGAAGAACGUUGGUGAGAGUGGAAAGCUCAUCAAGUGACGGUAACUACCCAGAAAGGGACGGCUAACUACGUG